UGCGCUCGGAAUGUCUGGACUUUUAACAACUUACAUGAUCUUUGGGAGACGGGCGUAUGGUCUAAUUUUCUAUAAACAGCCACUGAAAUUUUGGUCUGAAUUCGUCAGUUCCUUGAAAAAAAUUGAAGGACCGGCAGGAACAGAAAGCAUUUUCAAGUCCUCGAUAUUCAUCAGGAUCAAGCUAUCCAUCAGCCGAACGGUGACCGUAAAUUGCAUGGCUACGUCAAUCUUUGCUCUAUAUUUUGUAUCAACUUUUGCCUUCAGUCAUGCAGCAGAAUUGGAAAAACCAGGGGGUCACCUAUUAUUUUUUGUACAUAUGAUAGUUUCCACGAUGUGGAAUGUUUAUCAAUGUCUCCACUUUUUUAUGACGGCUUGGACGACAUUCCCCCUAAAAAUUGUGCAAGGAUUGUUGGAAACUCUGAAAGGAGAAUUGGACCAGGAACUGAGUGAAACAAAGCUGAAAAAAUCGCCUCAGUUGAGACAAACUUGGAUUCAAGAUUAUCGAAAAAUUAGUGAAAUUCUCAAAUUGUAUACGCGUCACUUUGAGAAAAGCUUGAUUAGCGAAAUAGCUUACAACUCGGUGCAGAUAUUGUGUCAAUGCUUUUCUGGAUUUUCGUGGAUUUUAUCGGGCAUGAUUUCGCCAACAAUUUCUCGGAGUAUUCCGGUCAUGCUGGGUCUAAGGACACUUUAUCAAUUGUCUAAUGAAGCUGAAAAUGUGAGCGUCUUGCAUGGAGAAAUCUAUGAAAGGUUGUGUCGUAUCGAGGUGGAUUUGGACAAUGAGGAAAUGAGACUGAUGGUGAAAUCUUUAUUGAGGGAAAUGACGCUUGAUCAUCUCGCUGUGGAACCCGGAAAAUUUUUCACUAUGAACCGGAAACUGAUUACUUCUAUUUGGUCAACAAUUAUAACUUUCAUGGUUAUCCUUAUCCAAUUCCGGGAUGGGGAAGGAUCGUCUUGAAGCAACUCAUGCAUAAUACUUUCAGCUUGCAAAAUUCCACUUUCCUAAAUACAUUGCUUUACAUAUACAUAAAUAUUCAGUUAGUGCAUGAAUGGAGCUUCAUUUGCUCCUUAACUUUUCAAAUGUUUAGCUGUCAUGCACAUCUUACAUCUCUAAACAUUAAACACAUUAAGUGUGUACCUUAUUACUAUGCGUAUAAUAAUAUUGCAAGGUAAACAUCCGUUGCAUUAUUAAUAUAAAGUUUAAGGCAAGUCAUGUCAAAUACUUACUAGUAGUUCGACAGCCUGUAAAUUCGCAAGUCAUAACAUAAUAAUAUUUAGCAUUCUUCACCACCACCACUUGAAAUAUUUACGAGGACAAUUUCUUAAACAAUUCACCAACCAACCAAUAAUGUUUAACAAACACUUUAAUAAUAUUUAAGCGGUUUUCAAUAACUAUCCAAUAAAAUGACACACAAUCGCAUCGACUAAACGAUUUAGCUUCAUAUGCAUGUACAUUCGCUUUGCUUUACAUGCACCUUCCCAAAACCAGGCUCAGAGCACUCAUUUUGCACGGCUACAUACAUUUGCAUUUCGGAAUGGCACGUAGUUUAGUUUGUUGAGUUACAUAUAUGGCGUGGCCAGAGUAAGCAUUGUUAGUUUUUUAUUGCAUGUCGUGCCUGCGAUUGUGGUCUCCCCGAUCAUCUCGAGUUUAUAACAUGUCGAGUGUUUUGUGCACGUAAAUUUUGGCGUUUGUUAUGCAUUCCGUCCCCCUAAGAGACAGCGCCGUAGCAUAAAUUGAAACCUUGUAUGUACAUAAUUUCUCUUUGUUUCCUCCUCCAGUUUUGUCAAUUUUCUAACUUGGCCGAGAACUGUUAAUUAGUCAAAUUAUCCGUUAUGCUAAUUGGUGCACAAGGUCCUCCCACGCAAAACUUAACAUUUAUGUAUGCAUUUCGCCACAAAAUUUAAACAUGCUAAUUGCUUACACAUCACCCACCAGUGACUGAAUGAUAAUGAGAUUUGUCUGACUCAUUUUUGUUGAUCAUCUCAUUUAGCAGAUGCAGUUUUUAAACACUUUAUCCUCGUCUCAUCUCAUCACUUCACCUGUUCCUCCAGACCAAUCGAAUCUGUGUACACACACAAAUUCAUUAUUCACCUUGAUCAUUACAUGUUUAAACCUAGGCUCAAAUUUCCAUUCAUUUCAUUAUUAUGUCAAUCUGGAUAAAUUCUGCUUCCUUUCUUUCGCCCAUCAAAUCCACAACGCACGGCAUAAAUAUUCAUGACCCUCUCGACGAUCAUCCUGCUUGGCUUUUCCGUUCUCCUUAUACUUAGCAAUAAUUUAUUUAAUGCUCUGGUGCCAAUUUGCACUUCUGGACUGAAAUAUGAAGAUUGGAGAAUGAAUGACUACGGCCCACUCGCAAUACGCAACCAAACCAAACCACCAAACUUUUUAGCCAAGUGAUGCUUCUGCCUCUGCUCAUUGUUGAAUUGAUUCGCAGAAAAUGGCAUACUAAAAGUAUUAGCAUACUUCAUCCUAUGCUUAUUAUUGCGACGAUGGCACGACCACCACCAGAAACGCUUAGCUUAUUGCCUUAUUGCACCUUUAAAUCAACUCAUUACUUGGUUUGGUUGGUGGGGUAAGGUUCGCCCGGAGGCAGUGGAGGUACAAUAAUAUUUGCGCUCUUCUCUAGUGCUACGUACCUUAAAGAAGCAAAGUUUAGUGGUUUGGUUUCUGCACCUGUGCUACAUUGCACUCUGGUAGUGCUAAGUUUUUUUUAGGGAAUAUUUGCAAAAUGCGACAAUUUGCGACAUAAUUUUCGUAACUGUGUAUAGAUUUUAAAGUUAUAUAAUGGGUUGACAAGUUUAGUUUCCUGAAUAAUGGGAACAUUCAGUGGACUCACAUUUUUGAAGAGAGGGUGCACCAGGAAAUUGACACUAUUGCCAUCAAUUUUAUUAGUGGGGGUUGUUUCGAGCUUAUUAUUUCCACGGCCAGGAUUUGCUCAUUUGAAUUUGAGCAAGCAAUGUGGCGAGCUGACUUGUCCAGCGAACGAGUAUUGCAGAGAAUUCGAUCACACUUGCAGCCCUUGUACAAGCAUUUGUAAAGAAGGAAGUAACAAUUUUAGUAAAGACACGUGCGAAUCUGGAUGCCAAGAUUAUCUUCACGAUGAACGAUACAUCCGGAUCCAAAAUAAUUCUGGCGGAGAAGAUAUCGCAUCCCUUUACCGUUCGCUACAGAGGGACAUCUUCGUCCUAAAAGUCCUCGUUGGAGUUUGUCUAGUCGUCAUUGCUCUAAUUCUUGCCGCGUUUAUCGCGUCCGUCACCUACUUUUGGCGAUCCGUUCAUCCCAACGGUGGUUCUACUAGUUCAAAAUCUGGUAGUGGAAGUGGAGAUGCUCAAAAGAACAAACCAGAGAAUAAAAACGACGAGAAAAAGAAGGCGAUGGAACUUCCAGUGAUUUAUGAUAACAAGUAUGGUAUCUGCCACUCUCCUGGAUCGCCUCGUCGACGUGGGGGCGCUGUAGAGCAGAAUGUUGAUACGGGUUCUCAACGUCAAAGUCCCUCCAAAGUUUCCGAAACGGAGACGAUGAACUCGGUAAAUAGUGCAAAGAGUAACGGAGCAAGGACAAUGUCCACUUUGGUCAACUCGAGUGGAACCACCACCCCCAACGGGAUCAAUAACAAUCGAUUCCGCAGAGAACCAUCAGAGUCCACGAUACCGGAAUAUAUCGCGUGCGGCAGUGACAAUGCAUCCUUAUCGCCUGCGCAUGGGCAGGGAAUUUAUACCCAUCACGUUUAAAGUAUUUGAAAUCUAAUGUAUCAUAAAAAUUUUAGGGAGAAGUCAACAACCUUAAAUUUUGUAUGGUAUUGAUAAGUUGAUAAGCGAUAAUCAUAUGAUAAGUGAUACCAUCCAUGUAGAGCUAAAGUAGUUUUGAGCUAUUUUAAAAAUCAAGGACUUGAACUGAGUUGGGGAGUAAAAGUAGUUAUCACGCAGAUAAGAUUAAUAUUUCGUUGCAAUUUUCCAACUGCUAUUUUUUAGACUUGUUGUAUGUUACAAUGUAUGUAGAAACUAUGUAAGGAAAAGUAUAUAGGUUAUCUACGUACGUUACGAGACCACGAGUACGAAGGGUAUGCCCCGAGUCUCGGUCAAUCACUUGGUGUCUAUGCAAUUAUUAAACCCAAAAUACCUGUACUAA